CCUACGGGUGGCAGCAGUGGGGAAUAUUGGACAAUGGGCGAAAGCCUGAUCCAGCCAUGCCGCGUGUGUGAAGAAGGCCUUCGGGUUGUAAAGCACUUUCAGUGGGGAAGAAAGCCUUGGGGCUAAUACCCUCGAGGAAGGACAUCACCCACAGAAGAAGCACCGGCUAACUCCGUGCCAGCAGCCGCGGUAAUACGGAGGGUGCGAGCGUUAAUCGGAAUUACUGGGCGUAAAGCGCGCGUAGGCGGUCUGAUAAGCCGGUUGUGAAAGCCCCGGGCUCAACCUGGGAACGGCAUCCGGAACUGUCAGGCUAGGGUGCAGGAGAGGAAGGUAGAAUUCCCGGUGUAGCGGUGAAAUGCGUAGAGAUCGGGAGGAAUACCAGUGGCGAAGGCGGCCUUCUGGACUGACACUGACGCUGAGGUGCGAAAGCGUGGGUAGCAAACAGGAUUAGAUACCCUUGUAGUC
rnacentral:rRNA from 1 species